AGUACUCAUUUUGCUUUGCAACCAGAAACACAUUUCAGUUUGAAAUUGUACCCAGGCUGCACCCUCCCUCUCCGACGUUAGGGUGCACCCACUCUUCUCAGGCCCAAUCAGGCAGCGAUGUGCCUUGCAUCCAGACAAGGAGUAAAUAUCAUUCUGGAGCCCUCAGUGAAUAUCAUUCUGGAGUAAUAGCUUCUUCAUAAUAAGGACUUACAAGUAACUCAUUACCUCCUCACCAGCCAAAAAUACUCAUUUCUCCAGGGCACAUCUACAAGACGCAUGUGUGUCUUAACUGAAGCCUCCAGUUGCAUCUUGCUCAUCCAGUCCAACUCAUCCAGCCUGAUUAGCACAGUAUCAUCGAGCUACUGAAUCCAUGUGAUGUUUUGUAAACGAAGAUUGCUUCAGACUCUGUCAUGAUGGAGGGCAUAAAAGAACACAACCCGGGACAACACUGUAAAACUAUGUUAGUGUAUCACUGCCCAUUCCAUGUGCAUGUGAACUCUUUAUGAUCCUCUUUUUGAUCAGAAUAGAAAGAACAUAUUCACCAAAUUAGGAGCUGCAUACGAUGUAUCUGAGGCCAUGUUAAUCUGCCGUAGCAAAGAGGCCAGAACAGGCACAGGAGCUGCAAUUAGGGAUAGUAGUGGGUUGGCUUUGGGGUAGUCUACUGUUAUCCUCCCAGAAUCUGGGUUCUUCCGGCACAAGACUGGUGACUUCAAUGAAGAAGUGAUGGGCAUCUCCCCGCUACCCACUCACUCAUUCUCUAGAUUAGGGCUGGCAAGCUAUGAGCUGACCUGUUUUAUAAAUAAAAGUUUUUUGG
rnacentral:lncRNA from 10 species